AUGAAUUGCCUAAGCUAGAACUGCCGGGGGCUUGGGAACCCCGAGGCAGUUCGUGAGCUUCGCAGUGUUGUGAAGCAAGAAGGGCCCACUCUAGUUUCUGUCACGGAAACAAAGAUUAGAGGGAAACGUGUAGAGAGAUUGCAAUAGACCUUGGGGGUUGCGGGUUGUUUUGUUGUUGACAGCGAUGGAUUAAGUGGAGGCAUUGGACUCUUCUUGUCCAAAGAUGUUACAGUAGAGCUCAAGAACUACAGCCCGGCCCACAUUGAUGUAGUGGUGCGCGAUGCUUUGGACACUUCGGUGAACUAG
rnacentral:rRNA from 1 species